rnacentral:lncRNA from 1 species
UUUUGGUGGAAUAUCUAUAAAAAAAAAACCUGAAGAAAAGAAUUUGAAAUUAGCAUGACAAGUGAUGAACGAAAUUGACCUUGAAGUCAAACAUGAGUGAAUGAAAGUUAAAAGUAAAGUAAAAUAAAAUUGAAAAAAACCAUAACAUAUUAUGCAAGCAAAGGAAGAAAAUAAUUUGAAACCUCCAUCUGUAACCUUCCCAAUCAGUCCAAGGCAGCAAAUCGGAGGGAUGCGAUUGCACGUUGAUGGCAAAGUGGUUCCGUGGAGAGAUGAGGCGAUUUUGUGGGGGUGGUUCCGUUCAGUGGAGAGAUGGGAUGAGAAUUGCAUGGAGGAGAUGAAUUCCAUGGAGGAGAUGGUGGAGGUAGGCAGGGUUUUAAGAGGGUUUUUGGUGAUGAGAUGUAUUAUUGAUUUAAAUCACUUAUCACAGAUUUUAUAUUAAGAUA